rnacentral:rRNA from 1 species
GACGAACGCUGGCGGCGUGGAUUAGGCAUGCAAGUCGAACGGUAUCAUCCUUUCGGGGGUGAGAGAGUGGCGAACUGGUGAGUAACACGUAGGUUAUCUACCCUCAAGACGGGGACAACCCAGGGAAACUUGGGCUAAUACCGGAUGUGAGCAACUUUUAGUUGUUUGAAAGGUGGCGUAAGCUGUCGCUUGGGGAUGAGCCUGCGUCCUAUUAGUUAGUUGGUGAGGUAACGGCUCACCUAGGCAAUGAUAGGUAGGCGGCCUUAACGGGUGGUCGCCCACACUGGGAUUGAGAUACGGCCCAGACUCCUACGGGAGGCAGCAGUCGAGAAUAGUCUACAAUGGUCGGAAGACUGAUAGUGCGACGCCGCGUGAACGAUGAAUCCCUUCGGGGUGUAAAGUUCUUUUAUAUGUGAGCAGUGCUUCUUAUAUUAACAGUAUGGGGAAGAGAUAUUAGCAUAUGAAUAAGCAACGGCUAACUCCGUGCCAGCGGCCGCGGUAAG